AAGUUUUUGUGGUUGGUGCACUAGUUGUAAGCGUAUAUUGUGUUUUUUAUGUUGAUUUAAUCAAAAAAAAAAUAUUUUUUUUAAAUAGAAAUGAAUAAAAAAUUAUUCUGCGCCCCGGUACCAAUCGGACCACGGCCCGGUGGUUGGGGACCACUGCCGUAUAGUACACGUAAAACCCUCAUUUAAAUAAGGUGGUCUGUACCACUUAACAAUUGUACAUGCAGUAUUAGUAAAUCACGCGCGACACACCCACUAAUAAUAUGCGUAUUUUAUAGAUUCCUUAUGCUGUUUAGCGCGGAGUUUUAGGAUCUUAGUAAAUCAGGCCCGUGCUGUAGUUGAAGUGUUUGUCAACCUUUUUUGAGCCGAGGCAAAUGUUUUGCAUUGAAAAAAUACGUAGGCACACCACCAGUAGAAAUCAUUAAACGAAACUCAGUUGACAGUAUAAGGUCGUUGUUGCAAUUGUUGGAUAUGACUUUAAAGCAAAACCAAGCAUGCACCACCAUAGCUCUUGUCUCAAAGUAGGUGUACUGUCACCACCUGUCACAUCACGCCCUGACUUAUUUUGAGUUUUUUGCUGUUUUCCUGUGUAGUGUUUUAGUUCUUGUUUUGAGCUCUUAUUUUGUUUACUUUUUCUCUUUUUUUUUUGUAUUUUGCUGUAGCAGUUUCAUGUCUUUCUUUGAGCAAUGUUUCCCGCAUCUACUUUGUUUUAGCAAGCAAGAAUAUUUGAAUUGUUUUUAAUCAUUCUUUGUGGGGACAUUGUUGGUUGUCAUGUCAUGCUCGGAUGUACAUUGUGGACAGCGUCUUUGCUCCACAGUAAGUCUUUGCUGUCGUCCAGCAUUCUGUUUUGGUUUACUUAGGAUCCAGUUCCAUUUUAGUUUCGUUCUGCAUAGCCUUCCCUAAGCUUCAAUGCCUUUUCUUAGGGGCACUCCCCUUUUUGUUUUUGGUUUAAGCAUUAGACACCUUUGUACAUUCGCACUGCCUCCCGCUGUUUCCGACAUCUACAAAGCAAUUAGCUACCCGCUGCCACCUACUGACAUGGAAGAGUAUUACACGGUUACUCUGCCGAACUCAAGACAGCACAGACACUCAACAACACAUAAUUUGCAGACUAUAAUUACUGGUUUGCAAAAAACAUUUUUAACCCAAAUAGUUCAAAUUAAAUCAUCUCCCACGGCACACCAGACUAUCUCACAGUGGUUGAAAAACUGCUGUAGCGAACAACCAAAUUCUAUGAAGAAAGCACAGGAGAAAAGUGCUGGAGCAUGACAGAGCAGCAUGUUCACAUGAUGGCUCCCUCACACUAUUCACUGCCGUCUCAUAUAUGACUGCCUCUUUUCAAAUCAAUCAAACAUUUCCAGUUACAAAAUAAUAGCACUAUGCUUCACAUUCGGUUUAUCUACUCUGCUUGGCACUCAGCAUCAAGGGUUGGAAUUGGGGGUUAAAUCACCAAAAUGAUUCUCGAGCGUGGCUUUGCUGCUUCUCCCCUUACCUCCCAGGAGGUGAACAUGGGGAUGGGUCAAAUGCAGUCACCUCAACUAGGGUGUGUGACUAUUGUAGGGACUUUAACUUUAACUAACCAAAAUGAAAAAUAUCUUACAUUACGACCAUGCUUCGUCAAAGAUAUUUGGUAGUGUAAUCUAUGAUCCUGGGCAGGCUCAAAUAUUGUGUAUGUUCAUUUAUAACAUGUUUUGGUUGCUAGUCCACAAUUGCAGAAUGAAUAGCGGGCAAAUAUUACAUUUUAUUAAUACUGUAGAUACAAAAGGUUGUGUAUGAUUGGGUGAAUGUAAAAAGAGUGUCAAAGCGCUUUGAGUACCUUGAAAGUAACAAAGGCUUUACAAGUACAACCCAUUUAUCAUUUACAUUGUCAUGCAACCUCAUGAACACCAUUAACUUGUGCAACAGAUAAUGUCCAAAAUAUCGGCAGCAUUAAUCCAGGUAGAAAUGUCAUAGAUUACAUGACCCGACAUCUUUGAGAAUCAAAUCAUGAUUGUAACAACCCACAGAUUGUCAUUAAUGUGCAAAACUGGUAUUUGAACACAGAAGUGUAGCUCCUUUAAAUGCAAGUGCUCCUACAGCAGGAAUUAAAACUCUGUCAUGGAUACACCAACGCACUGCAGGUAUUUUUUUAUUGUCAUUAAAAGCAUGUUUAUGUCCGUUUUGUUUUGAACUACUUUAUUUAAAAAAAAAUGUUUUAAAAAAGCUUAGAAUGUCAUUAAAGCAAACAAAUUGUUUAGACAGUUUUAAAAAUGACCCCUCUAGAGUACACUUACUAAUGCUGAGUCUUUACAUGUGUCUGCAAUUAAUUUUGAGUUAACUAUGAAAGAUGCAAUUAAAUAUUUCAAUCAUUUGACAGCCAUAUAUAUAUAUAUGCACACAUGCAUACGUGUGUGUGUAUUUAUAUGUAUGUGUAUGCGUAUGUAUAUAUAUGUGUAUAUGUAUAUACUAAUUUGUAUAUGUGUGUGUAUAUAUAUACAUAUAUGUACACAUAUAUGUAUACAUAUAUAUACAUAUUUUUAUAUAUACUAUAAGUGUGUGUGUGUAUAUAUAUAUAUGUAUUUGUGUGUAUAUAUACAUACACAUAAAUGUAUGUGUAUAUAUAUGCAAGUUUAAUCUAAAGUUCUUUACAGCUGUAUUUGAGUGAAAUUUGCCAGCAGUUGAAGUCUUCACUCAUUUUCGUACUGACACAUGCGUUGAUCCGAUCUCUGACCAUAUGGCUGUUAAGGUAAAAGAGCUUGUACAGUCAAAGUAAAUUUUAUGAUAAAUCUGAAGUGUGUACAUGGUUAAUGUAAUCAAUUUUUGUGAUUUACCACAUUAGUUCAUGCAUUAAUUUUUACUGCAUGCGUGCAUCCCAUGUGUAUAUAUAUAUAUAUAUGUAUAUAUAAUCUGUAUAUACAUAUAUAUUUGUGUGUGUGUGUAUAUAUAUAUAUUUGUGUGGGAGUGUGUAUAUAUACAUGUGUGUGUGUGUGUAUAUAUAUAUACAUAUAUAUGUGUGUGUGUGUGUAUAUAUAUAUGUAUGAGUUGAUAUAUAUGUGUAUAUAUUUGUUUCUUGCAUUGAACAAAAAGCACAGUCUACCUAAGUAAAAUAGCAUGUGUAUUAAAUAUAUUAUUUAAUAAAUCUGAUACUGUUAUAUAGAUACUGUAUAUCUAGUUCCCUCACACACACCAGGACAUGUUUCAUUUCUUGCCAAAAAAAAAAACCAACUCAACAAAUACAAAUUAACUUGUUUGGCCAGGUUGGUAACAAUUAAGAACUUUACAGUAUGCAGUCAUGAAAUGUGAACUAUUAACCCUUCAAACUGUUGAGAAGAGGCGUUAUGACUCUGCUCUUUAACAAUGCCAGAUAAUUGUUUGUAAUUAGUUCAUAGCUCUUUUUUUUUUUUUUUUUUAAACUAAACUAUCAGAGGCCAGACCUUUGGGAAUAUAGGCACACAACAUAGAGCCAGGACUUAAAAGGAAAAUAUUUAAAUUGGUACCCUACCUUAAUCAAACACGAUCUAGUAUCUUAACUUAAAAAUCAGAUCACUAACUUAAUUGAUUUUCACUAGAACUGCAAUCACCAUUUUGGAUGGCCCAAGUCGAUUUAGCCUCGUCUAAUUCAUAAUAGCACAACUUUGAAGAAAAAAACGUAGAUCCGCCCUAUGACUCAUCAGAAACACCAUAGUUGGCCUGUCAUGCUUUUUGGCCUCUCAAAGAUUUAUGUUAACGUUGUUGUAUUCAAACGUAAUUGUAUGAUAUACAUGUAUACCAUUAAGAUUAAAUCAAACAGUUUGGUAAAAUGCUAGGCCACAUUUAAAAUGAUGUAAAUUAUAGGAGCUAAUGUUUAUAUUUUCAAUAGUUGACAAGGUGCUGCUGACAUUAAAUACCUAGGAAUCGUGGGAACAAUUUAUUGUAUAGACAUACUCUACCCUAAACAAGGUCUCAUUUAAACUAUGUCAACAGAAACUGUCAAAUGUGAAGUAUGUGGUCUGAAAUAAAACCUAUUUCCCAAGGAUUGUUGUUUUUACUACCUCAAAAAGGGACAAGCGGUAGGAAAUGGAUGGAUGAAUGUUGUUUUUUCUUCCUGGUAAGUCAUUGGUCAGUUAUGAAAAUAUAUUUAUCUCCAAAAGUAUUAUUACUUGACUAUCUGUGUCUGUUUAUUUUUGGCAGCUACCCAAAUAUACACCCUGCAGAAUGUGGGCUUGGCGGUUAAAGGUAGCGUUUGUGUGUGAAAGUGCAAACAGCGAUUGUGUCGGGCUUUGCUUUUAAGAACACCAGCCCAGUUUUACCAUUGUAGGACUGUCAUGCGGGCUUCACAUUGGCCAAUCUAUAGUGCAGGUCAACAAUUGUGGCCUUUGUUUCCCAACACAAAUGCAGCGUGUGUGACUUUUGUGACAUGGGUUCCUUGGUAUUAAAAGAUUUAGGUUACUGUACAAACACUUUUGCUGUAAAUUAAAGCGACCCGGUUGGGAAAGUGGUUUUAAAGCCGAUAAACACUUUUUAUUUCUGUACAAAAUCCCAAUCAUUUGGAGCUAUGUGAGCCUGCCAAGUGGUAAAUUGUGUUAUAAUCCUGAAACUGUAUAUAUUCAUCUGGAAUCAAUCGGUUUUUAAGCUGUGCUCCAAGUUAACAAGGAUCUGCUUUCAUAGAAAAAGUAGUACAGUAUAUAGCUUUAGGGAAGGGUUUAUUGAAAAGCAUAAAAAGAACCUGUGCAGCAAAUCAUACAGGGUCUAGUUAUAAAACACAUCAUUAGCAUACAGAAACAAUGUCUAUACAGUAUGUAUAUUUACACUAACAUUUGUAUUCCUCAAAUGUAUGUAAUGCUUAUUUACAAAUAAUCAGGUAUAGAAUAUGUAGAGUACAAAAGAGAUAAAAUAUAAAAAAAUAUUACAACAUCCAGGAAGAACAAAGAAAAACUAUACAAUAGUUCUACUGAUUCUUAAAGCUGAGGAAGUUAUUGCAUAGUGCUCCUACAUGAAUGCAGUACCUUAUUACAAAGGUCUUAAGGGGUGAUCUUAGCGCUUGAUAAAAGUCUUUUUAGUGCGAGGGACGAGGAAGACGCUGCCUUCGGUUGACUGCUGCAGUGAGAAGUCGGACGGGGAGAUGGAGUUGCCGUCCUCGUCUCUCAGCACGCUGAACACCUCCAGGUACAGGCUGUUCAGCCGCCUCUUCAUCUCUCGAAGGCCGCUCAUGUUACGUGAUUUCUCGCCCAGCAGGCGCUCUUUUUCCUCUUUGAGCGAGUCCAGGUCGUUUUCCAGCCCUACGAUGUUCUCCAUCUUUCGUUUCCGGCAGUUCUGUGCCGCCACUUUGUUCUUGCCGCGGCGGCGGAUGUCUCGGACCAGGGCCAGCUGGGCCUCAUUCAGUUGGUUCUUUGACAUCAGCUCGUUGAAGUCAUCCACAGGAAGAUUUAUGAUCAUGUCCACAGUGAAAGGGAUGUUGAGGGCCUUGGCUCUCUGCUCGUCUCGAGAGAGACGCACAUCUGAGCUUCUUUUGCGCUUGUCUUUGGUGAAAGGCGGCGAACUGUAGCCCGUCUCCUCGUCCGGAUCCAUAUUCUCCAGUUUGGGCGGCUUGUCCUGGCUCUGAGGCUGGCCCACUAAUGCAGACAGAGGCACUAUGUGCUGAACGUUCUCAGGUUGGAAAUUCAAUGAGAACAUCUCCGAGUAAUCAGAUUCUGCACUGCCGGGGUUCUGGUCCAUGUCUUCCAUGUCGGAGUCGCUGUAACCAAAACCUUCGUCUCCAUACAGAGAUUUUCCAGGAGAGCAAGUGUGAGGACUUGUACUUGAAGAGAGUCCCGAGUCUACGUCCGGCACUUCUGUAGAGAGGUUGUUUUUGCCCCGCAUAAACGUGUCACCGGGCGACAGGCUGUACAGGCUUUGGACGUUGCACUCGUCUACUUCGGGGUCCGGCUGACCACCGCUCUCCUCCGACACGACAGGAUAAAAACUGUCGCAAUAACUAUUAUGGCUGAAAGGGUUUAACUGGGGGGCUUCUGGCUCGAUUCGGCACAGGUUGUCCGGCGGGGACAUACUGCAAACCGAGCCUUCGAAUGUGUUCAGUGUUGGACACACGUUUAAAUUGUUUUGUUCCUUGUUUGCAAGAUUGGGCAUUGGGUAAUAAGGGUAGCUAGGAUCCUGUGCUUCAGCACUAGUUGGAAGAGGGUAGGUUGCCGUUUCCAGCGGGUCCUCCAUUUGCUGGGUCAUACAUUGCUGAGGAAAAGAAGAUGUUUGACAAUGAAAACACCUUCAUGCCAAACAUUUUUAAUGCUGUCAAAUGUUUUUGUAAUCAGAUUAAAUCACAGGUUAAUAAUGUUUUGCAUGAUUCAAUUGAACUUAAAGAGAGCACAAAUGCAAUUUUAAUGUAAGGAUGGAGCAUGUAUGGACAAAAUAAAUUGCGUGUAGAGAAUAAUCUUGCGUGCAAAAAACAAUGAAAUACUAAAAUUGUUUUUUGUUGGGUAAGAGGGUGGAUGGAGGAGGACACUUACUACUUUACUACAUGUACCAUAUUUUUCUGACUGUAAGGCGCACUUAAAAUCCUUUCAUUUUCUCGACAGUGCGCUUAAAGUACGGAAUAAUUUUGGUUGUGCAUACCGAUCUCGAAGCUAUUUUAUUUGGUACAUGGUGAAAUGAUAAAUGUGACCAGUAGAUGGCAGUCACACAUGAGAGAUACAUGUAGACUGCACUAUGAUGGCAAUAUGACUCAAGUAAACAACACCAAAAUAUAUGUUCCAUUGAAAAUAUAGAACAUUACACACGGCGAUCAAAAAUGAAUGCAAUACUUUUUGUGUCAUUAAUCACAUGAGUUAACUUGUUUAUGACAGCCCUAAUUUAUUAAAUAGAGUACGGGCCAAAAGUUUGGACGGACACACCUCAUUCAAUGCCUUAACUUUAUUGUCAUGACUAUUUACAUUGCAGAUUGUCACUGAAGGCAUCAAAACUAUGAAAGAACACAUGUGGAGUUAUGUACUUAACAAAAAGAGCUUUGCGCACUCUUGGCAUUCUCUCGCUAAGCUACAAGAGGUAGUCACCUGAAAUGGUUCUCACUUCACAAGUGUGCUUAAAGCUCAUCGAGAGAAUGCAAAGGGUGGCUAUUUUGAAAAAACGAGAAUAAAAAACAUGUUUUCAGUUAUUUUACCUUUUUUUUUGUUAAGUACAUAACCCCACAUGUGUUCAUUCAUAAUUUGUAUGUGACAAUCAAUGAUGUAGUCAUGAAAAUAAAGAAAACUCAUUGAAUGAGAAGGCGCGUCCAAAAUUUUGGCCUGUACUGUACCUUUUCUGCUUUUUGCCGUGUUAUUGGUAUGUUCAUAUUUUGUGAGGACACUGGACAGUUAUCUGAGUUGUUUUUCCAGAUAGAAUUGUCCCUUUUAUUGCAUCGUGCACCAUUUAGAUUUAUUAUAACUAGCCCUAAGAGCAUGCAUAGUGCCGGCAACUAAUCUAAUCCCGUGAAGACAACAAUGUUUGUCUGAGAGGGCGGGAAAACAACCAAACAGCUUUCCACCAAACAUAGCCCGCGACUGGAAGAUGCUGGCAGACAUCGGCAAACUGCUAGUUUUCCCACCUGAGAUUGCCUCUACCAACCUCAGGCCAGACUUGGUGCUCUGGUCCCCUUCGGUGAAGACUGCUUACAUAAUAGAGCUCACAGUCCCAUGGGAGAACUCUGGAGGAGGCCUACAAACGUAAGAAGCUGCGCUACUCAGAGCUAGCAGAAGAAGCGAGGCAGCGUGGCUGGAACACCAAAGUCUAUCCAGCUGAAGUGCAAUGCAGAAGAUUUGCGACGUAGUCUGCCAUCAGACUGCCGGCAGCCACAUUCAGGCUCUGCGGCGGACCAUUAGAGCAGUCUCAGAGGCAGCUGAAAGAAGCAGCCAGUGGAUUUGGCUCAAGCGGAAGGACCCCAGUAAACAGCAGUAUAACAGGAUCAAUUUCAGGAACAGUUGAGCACAGGAAACAAGCUGAGGACUGAUCAUCCUUCGGCAGGCCACCUUUGCGGAGGGUGUAUGGUGUUUGAAAGCCGAAACACCCAAUGAUGCAGGGUCACACUAUUGAAGAUGUGUCGCUGGUCCAAUUGUCCUGGAAUUUAACCCUGACCAGGUCUCAUGUCCGAGACUUGCAAACUUAUCUCAUAGCCAAGUUUUCAGCAGCUGGAAUGAGGGUCAGCAUCUCCAAAUCUGAGGCCAUGGUUCUCAGCAGGAAACCGAUGGUUUGUACAGUCCAGGUAGAGAACGAGACCCUGUCCCAGGUGGAGGAUUUUAAGUAUUUUGGGGUCUUGUUCACGAGUGAGGGAAAGAUGGAGAAGGAAAUCAGCCGGAGAAUCGGAGCAGUGUUGCAGUCUCUCUGCCGCACUGUUGUGACGAAACGAGAGCUGUGCCGAGCUAUCUACAUUCCUACUCUCACCUAUGGUUAAGAAAUGUGGAUCAUGACUGAAAGAGGAAGAUCGUGGAUACAAGCGGCCAAAAUGAGUUUCCUCAGAAGGGUGGCUGGCAUCUCCCUUAGAGAUAGGGUGAAAAGUUCAGUCAGCCGAGAGAGACUCGGAGUUUGCCGCUGCUCCUUCGCUUGGAAAGGAGCCAGCUUUGGUGGUUUGAGCAUCUCGUGCGGAUGCCUCACGAGCAUCUCCCUAGGGAAAUCCUCGUUGCACGUCCCACUGGGAGGAGACCCCAGGGCAGGCCAAGGACCAGAUGGGGGGAUUACGUCUCCUCUCUGGCCUGGGAACGCUUUCAGGAUGCCCCAGGAGGAAGUUGCUAAUGUUGCUCUGAAGAAGGAAGUCUGGGGGUCUCUGCUGGAGCUGUUGUCUCCGUGACCCGAUUCCGGAUAAGCAGUUGAAGAUGAAUGGAUGAAGUCUCAUAUCCCACACAACUCACAAGAACAUCCUCAGCCCCCACACCCCCACGUUGCCUUUCUACCACUCUCAACAACAAGGACAUCUCGAAUGAACACUCCCCACAUUUGGCACAAGGAACUGUUUCAACAUCUCGUCCUGUGUUUUUUUUUUUUAUUCUAUCUUUGAACCACUUAACCAGAGUGCCGUCUGCUGAAUCUGGUGGUGCACUGCCCCACUUAGAUCAGUAUGAAAAAUGUCCGUUUCAAGAGUAAAAUUGAAAUUAGUGAGCUCCCACCUGACUAUGGCAAAUAUUAUCUCUAAAAAGUAGAAAAGGUAGAAUUCUAUUCCCUAAUGCACAUUUCAGACUUGCCAAGAGCCUGUCGGUACAAGUGGCAAAGCCUCACCCAUUACCCUGGGCUGCUAUCGCUGAUAUCUUACAGAAAGAAAACAUUGAAAGAUUGCCACACUGCGGUUGUACUACCCACACUAAGCUGCAAAUGUGCGAGCCAAAACCUUACGCAAUCCAAGAUGUGUGUGUACGUGCGUGCCUUACGCCGAUAUUCAAAGCUCAUACCUGCAGCUCAGGGAGAGACAGCAGCUCCAUCCAGGCCUGCUCCAAAUCAAGAGACAUCCUCUGGGGCUGGGAUGCAACCAGAGGAGCUGGCGCAAGCGUGAGUGGGGGCAAAGAUGGCUGCUCGGGGGACAUCAUGACAACGUUGCUGCUGCUGCUGGCGGUGGUGACAGUUGCAGUCGUUUCCAGGCAGACUGAAGUAUCCUAUGAGGAAACGUCUCUGCGAGGAGUUGCAGGCACUCGUCAAACGACAAAGUCUCCGUAUUCUCCUGUGUGAAGCUGACAUCCUGCAACAGACAGAGGCGUGGCAGGAGGCUGAAGAGGGCGACCGGGCAAAAGACGUGGCACGUACUCUCCCGUCUCUUCAUCCAGCUGCAGCUGUGCCAGCAGGGCCUUCUCCUUCUCCUGGAGGAGGUGCAAUCUCUUUUCCUCCGCCAGCUGCUGCUGCCUCUGCAGCUCAUACUCCUUCUGACGGUGGCUGUAGUCGAACACCUCGCGCCUGGCGCCCAGAUCGAUGUCCUGCCUCCACAGUAUGUCGAUCUCGUCCAUGUUCUGGGAAAAGAGGGUGCGUCGAGAUUAAAUGGUGCCUUCAUACGGUGGGAGGAGGAGGUGAAAAAAAAAAAAACAAUGCCAAUUUGCCGAGAGCACGGUUUGAACCUGCGACGCCCUUUCCCUCCUUAUUAGUUCACCAACAGUAACGCCGGUUUUAAUGUCAAGUGGGAGAAGGUGCAUGAAUAAUGGAUAAUGAGUCCUCCCUCGAUGCUAUGCUCUUUGUCGCCCAUUAUGUCCUUCAACACUGAAGUAAUCGUUCACUCUUUAAAUGAAUCACUCAAUUUCCACUCUUCAGAAGUUGAACCGCCAUUGUGAUUGACGUUACAUGAGAGUUGAGUAACUCACCAGACCGCAGCUCAUUUAGCAACAGAAAGACUACUGUAGGCCAGACCUUGGCAAGUUAAGGCCCGGGGGCCACAUGGAGCCCGUUACGCUUUUCAAUAUGGCCCGCCGGACAUUCCAAAAUAUUUUUCUUUAGAUCUUUAAGAUCGGGGGUCUCAAACUCACUUUACCUGGGGAUCAUUGGAUGCGGAGUCUGGGUGAGGCAGGGCCUCAAGUAAAGAUAUCUUUAAAAAAAUGUUGCAUUCUCCUCAGCAUGUCUAGUUGUAUAAUGACGUUUCAAAUUGUAUCCCUUGUAUUUUAUUUUGUAUUUCUCCGUGCAAAAAAGACACGUCGGGGUGCCCCUGUAGUCAACAAAGAAAUGUUGCAUCGCCCACUUCUCCUGGAAUUGUCUUUGCUCAUCACAAACCUUUCUCUUCACUGCCGGCUUUAAAAAAGACAUGUUUGGGGUUGUGGAAUAUAUUUGUAUUUAGCCCAUGCCAAAGAAUAAUGUUAUUUUAGCAAUGUGUGUCGUUCCACUUUUCCUCCCUACAGCAACACGGCGGUCGGCGGAUAAUAGCCUGGAAAGUACCGGGAUAGCGACCGCAAAAAAGUGAUGGUUAUCCUGCGUCAUAUAGAAAUAUAUGUAGUGUUCAUCGUGUGAGGCAAUGCAAACUAAACAAUAAAAAAAACAUAACGAUUUGAAUUGGUCCAGGGACUGUUAUUACUGACGGACAGAUGUCGCGGUGUGACUGCAGCCAGGGACGUAAGAAAACCCUCGUCUCUAUGGCAACAUCUAUAUCGCUUUCACUCAUUUGCCGCUUUUCCACUAAUGCAGGGGUAGGCAACCCAGAACGUUGAAAGAGAGCCAUUUUGGACCCAAUUAACACAACGCUGUCUAGCGCUAUUCAUAUAAAACUCGCGAGCCGCACUAACACUAAACUUUCAUAUUAAGGUGGGGGCCGCAAAUUAAGGUCUCGCGGCCCGCAAUUUGCCCGCGGGCCGUGUGUCUGAGAACCCUGUUUAAGAUGGAAAGUGUAGCUGCUAUCAUGAUGUGAAGUGAUGUUUUCUAAUGACCGCAAGUCUUCAACUAUACAAAGUAUUUCAAUGCUUGGAAUCUGUGCUUAUGGAUGAAAUACCAGUUAAUAUGGUAAUGUAAUUAAUUACUAUGGUCAUCUAAUUAGUUACUAUGGUCAUCUACGUCACAGCAGCUCAGGCGAGGCACUAAACAGUGUGGGCGGGGAGCAUGUCCAUAGACGCAGAAGGAGAUUUUCACAACAAAGUUCUAAAGCUUAGUGAUAUGUCAGAUAUUUCAGAAUGUAGGUGGGGGUUUUUUACCCUUCUCGGUCAUAUUUCACUGUUUGUUGCGUUCCACAUGAUUGUAAAAUAUGUCAAUCGAAAGGGGGUGUGACGAUCAGAUUUUGUCAAUAUUCAGUGUUUUAUCCUUCAUAGAAAAAUGUAAAAUUCCAUUAUGUUUUUUAAGGCGGUCUGUCAUAACGUUUUUAGAAUUCAAUCACACAUUAUUGUGAGGUUUUGUAUAAGUGUUCUUAAAAAGAGAUAUACCGGCACCCAGACACAUUUUUUUCUCUAAAUGUGGCCCCCGGGUUCAAAAUAAUUGCCCAAGCCUGGUGUAGGCUGACCAUUUUCUGGAAUCCCCAAAAAGAGGACACAUAUAUGCGUGCCAAGUCCGGGACUAGGUGAACAAUUGCCAAUGAUACUCCAACUUGCUUUGUAAAUAAUAUAUUUAUUUAAAUAAUGCAUUUUUCUCCUCCUCUGUUGACAGCAGUGUUGGCGCUAGGAAUUUUCAAAAAUCAAGUCAUAAAAAUGGGGUCCCACAGUAAAUUUUUGGGGUCCCACUUUUUUGUAAGCGUUUUGAAAACAAAUGAUAAACUUAUGCAUCGUCCUGUUAUAUCUCACAUUCUAUAUUGUGUUUGGGAAAAAGGUUGUCAUAAACGUUACUUAAUUCAUUAAAAGAAAUAAUAAAAAAGAAGACCAAUUUGUAUACAUAUGUAAAUGUAUUCAGUUAUAAACAUUCAUUCACUUUCUUCUUUCCUUCAUGGAUCUAAACUUUACCGUAGUUUUUCUGUGUUUUUAUUUAAUUCAUUGUAUUUAUUUCAGUAUAAAAGUGUUUUGCUUGGGUCAUGAAAUGAUAAUGGUGUGCCAGGGAAAACAUACAUUUUUAAUUUAACGCUUAAAUCUCUGGAGUCUACAUCAACUUCACAUCUAUUCCUCUUUUCAAAAUGUUUUAGUUUUUUUAUGUUUUUUUUGUUUGUUUUCCACAAUUUUUUUUAUGGCAAACAUACAAAAUAUGCAAAAUCUUCCACCAAAAAUAUUUUUCUAAGUGGAAUAUUUGAUGGGACAUAAUCGGAACCUUGGAUAGGUGAAUAAUUCAUAAUAACAUUGAUUUUGACUCAAUAUUAUGUUUUGAGGAAUGACAGUUUGAUCUACUAAUCUAUUAAUAAAAGUUUAAAUUAAUCAUUGAUUGAUAACGUUGACAAUAGAGAGAGCGAGGGAGUGGAUUGAUUGACAAUCAAUCCUCUUCCCUCGCAAAUGCUGCUGCUUGCUCACCUUCACAAUUUGUUUUGUUUAUAACCCCUUCUUAACCCUGAACGUACAUUGAAAAUACACGCAACCCUGACUCAAAAUGCCGGACAUUUGAGGCAUUUAAGAAACCCCACCCGGACAGCCGCGCAAGAGAGGACCAGAUGAUAACAACAAUCUUGUAUUCAAAACAUGUUGUUUCCUUGAGUUUAAACUACGUAGAUGACAUUAUUUAAAUAGUUGGUAUCAUUUCACCAGAUGAUAACCACAAUCUAGUAUUCAAAUAAUGUAGUUUCCUUGAGUUUACACUCCAUAGAAGACAUUAUUUAAGUGGUAUAAUUUAAUCUGAUAACAACAAUCUUGUAUUCAAAAAAUUUUGUUUUAUUGAGUUUACACUCCGUAGAUGACAUUAUUUAAACAGGUGGUAUCAUUAAACCAGAUGAUAACAACAAUCUUUUAGUAAUAAAAAAAAAUAGUUUCUUUGAGUUUACACUCCAUAAAAACAUUAUUUAAAUAGGUGGUAUCAUUAAACCAGAUGAUAACAACAAUCUUGUAGUAUAAAAAUUUAGUUUCCUUGAGUUUACACUCCGUAGAAGACAUUAUUUAAAUAGGCGGUAUCAUUAAACCAGAUGAUAACAACAAUCUUGUAGUAUAAAAAUUUAGUUUCCUUGAGUUUACACUCCGUAGAUGACAUUAUUUAUAGUAAAUAGGUGGUAUCAUUUCACCACAUGAUAACCACAAUCUUGUAUUCAAAAAAUGUAGUUUCCUUAAGUUUACACUCUGUAGAUGACAUUAUUUAAAAGGGUGAUAUCAUUUCACAAGAUGAUAACAACACUCUUUAAUUCUAAAAAUGUAGUUUCCUUGAGUUUACACUCCAUAGAUGGUAUCAUUUCACUGGAUGACUGUUUGUAGCUCAUUAAGCUGCCAACUUUAUGUAUUCCUCUGUUGCCUCUAUGUACUGGACAACACUCAAAGCUAAAAUAUUUGUAGAAAUUUUGCAUUUUUCGGCAGGGAAAAUCUAAAAUAAAACUCCCCGCACUCUUCUUGAGUUCAUAACCACAACUUAUUUACAGAAGGAGGCCAUUUCACAAUACCCUCGGAAUGUUGCACAAACCCAAGAUCCGUGGAAAUGUUUAUGCGGUGUGAUUUAUACAUUUGUGUAGCUUUCAGACAUAUCUUAAAAGUUGGGAGCAGGAGUGAGACUCUUUACCACAGAGCUGAACCAAUUACUGUGUAUCCAGUUAAGCACACCCACUCUUGCCUGGGUGUUGCAUCAGUGGCCUGAAAAGAUGACAAGAUUACCGCCCGUUGAGAAUGACAUCGGCCCGCAACCGGGCGGCUGAUCACACCACCAGACAUCAUGGUGGCUUGUUUAAAAGGAAUGAGGAAGAGCUUCAAAAAAUAUAUGCCGGGGGUUAAAACAAACUUUCUGUUGGCCUUUAUCUCAUGGGACAAGUCAAAUGAGCAACUUUCUCAUGUUUGACAUGGAGAACCCAUGAUACAUAAAGUAGUUAUAUUUGGUGAAUAAGUUUCUUUUAAGGUGUGGGUGAACGAAAGUCGGCUUAAUCAUAAAAAUAAAAAAAACAGCGUCAACAAGUCUGAGUUGGCACCGUAGCAAGGAAGUAGUCCAAUAAAUAAGGCCUGUUUCUUUUCCGCAACAUCCCCUUUGUGUUUGUGCUGUAUAUAACACAAACACCAUGUCUUCGUCAGACCACACUUCUCCUAAAGGGAACAUGAGUUUCAACCAUUUCUAACGCGUUAUAAGACGACUUCACACUUCAACACAAACUGGGUGAGAGUUGACUAAGUGUUUGCAGUCUGGGUUGUUCAUUGAACUGCUCUUUUACAGGACCGUCUCGCAAAAACAACAACAAGGCCCUCAAAGGGGCCUGAGUUUGUCUCGUUUUAUCCUACGUCAGCGGACACGCACCCUUGACCCUGGACGAUGGAGCGCACACAUUCCAAACCGGCCCAGAGUGAGAGUACACUCAUCCUUACACAUUUGUAGGAAGUUACCUAUUCACGAUAAUCAUAGCCACUCUUGUCUUGGGGUUAGCCACAGAAUUAGUUAAACUGAAAGUUAAAGUACCAAUGAUUGUCACACACAAACUAGGUGUGGCGAAAUUAUUCUCUGCAUUUUAACCCAUCACCCUUGAUCACCCCUUGGGAGGUGAGGGGAGCAGUGAGCAGCAGCAGUGGCCGCGCCUGGGAAUCAUUUUUGCAAAUUCAACCCCCAAUUCCAACCCUUGAUGCUGAGUGCCAAGCAGGCAGGUAAUGGCUCCCAUUUUUAUAGUCUUUGGUAUGACUCGGCCGGGGUUUGAACUCACGACCUACCCAUCUCUGGGCGGACACUAACCACUAGGUCACUGAGUUAAAUCACACCGUGAAAACACCUCCGUCCCCUGUUCCUUGGAGUAUAGAACGAUACAUUUGUAUCGAACGCCCGCUCAGUGCAGAAAGAUGUACAAAUCAGGGGUAUCCAAAUGUUUUCCACCCAGUCUGUGGAACGCUCUCCCUGACCACCUGAGGGCACCUCACACGAUGAAUGCUUUUAAAAAAGGCUUAAAAACCCUUCUUAAAAAAAAACCAACUUUUAAAGAUAUAUGCAUACUAGUUCUAGCUAUUAGGCUGUUCUAGUUUUUGUUUUUAUUUACUUUUAUUAUCUCUUUAUUAUUAUUAUUUUUUGUUUAAUACACUGCAGCACUUUGAGGUUGUUUGCUCAAUGUAAAGUGCUUUUUACAAAUAAAAUCUAAUAUUAUUAUUAAGGACCGCAUACUGCAGAACUCAAAAGGAUGCAGUGGCCAUUUUGAUAUUUUUAAUAUUGUGACAUGGCUUUUAAAAAUGUUUGUCUUUGAAGACAGAGCUUUGUAUCAUUGUGUGAACUCUCCAAAGCAUUCGCACAUAUGGUUUUCUACACCAAAAUGAAUCUAUUUAUAAUUAUUAUAAUAAAUUUUUUUGUCCGGAUUUUGGCGCGUUCUAACUUUAACAUUUUCACCCGAUUGAAACGCUUUUCCAGAAAUUCCCUUUGAAAUGAAUGGUAUAUUCUUCAAAGGUUCCACAACUUCCACAUUUUUCACCUGAUUCUAACUGUUACAACUUCAAAACAUUCAGCCCGUUCAGGAAUUGUGUGCGCUACGUCAACAAUCCCGUACUUCCCAUUAUUCCUUUUUUUCUGGCGUUUUUCCCCAUUCAAAAUGAAUUGGCCAUUUGUCAAACUUCCACAAUUCCCACAUUCUUUAAACCAUUCCAUCUUUAACAAAUUCCACCAUUCGGGAAAUUCACACUACCCUUUUUCCAAGUUCAAAAAAUUUCUGAAAUUCCUUAUUACCAUUAUCUACAUCAACAUUUCUUGCCCAAUUUUAAACAAUUCCAACACCGACCAAUUCAGCUCAUUCAGGACAUUCAUGCUCAUCAUUUUCCAAAAAGUCUUAUUUUCCCAAAAUUUCCAGGAACUACCCAUUGAAAUGAAUGGGACAUGUUUUCAAGUUGCACAAUUCCCACAUUUUUCAACCUAUUCAAACCAUCCCAACAUCAACAUACUUCACUCAUUCUAGACAUUCAAACUAACACUUUCCCAAGUUCCAAACUAUAUUCCCAUUUUCCUGAAAAUUCAAACUAUUCAACAUUCCACUCAUCCUGGACAUUCAAACUACCAAGUUCCAAACCAAAUUCCUGUUUUCCUGAAAAUUCAAACUAUUCAACAUUCAAAACAUUCCACGCAUCCUGGACAUUCAAACUAACACUUUCCCAAGUUCCAAACCAAAUUCCCGUUUUUCUGAAAAUUCAAACUAUUCAACAUUCAAACCAUUCCACUCAUCUUGGACAUUCCAACUAACAUUUUCCCAAGUUCCUAACCAAAUUCCCGUCUUCCUGAAAGUUCAAACUCUUCAACAUUAGACCAUUCCAACAUCAACACAUUCCACUCAUCUUGGACAUUCAAACUAACACUUCCCCAAGUUCCAAACCAAAUUCCCGUUUUCCUGGAAAUUCAAACUGUUCAACAUUCAAACCAUUCCAACAUCAAGACAUCCCACUCAUCCGUGAAAAUCAAUCUAACACUUUCCCAAGUUCCAAACCAAAUUGCCAUCGUCCCUGAAAUUCGAACUCUUCAACAUUCAAACCAUUUCACUCAUCCUGGACAUUCAAUCUAACUCUUUCCCAAUUUCUAAACCAAAUUCCCGUUGUCCUGGAAAUUCAAACUCCUCAACAUUCAAACCAUUCCUACAUCAACACAUUCCACUCAAACAUUUUCCCAAGUUCCAAACAAAAUUCCCGUUGUCCUGGAAAUUCAAACUCCUCAACAUUCAAACCAUUCCUACAUCAACACAUUCCACUCAAACACUUUCCCAAGUUCCAAACCAAAUUCCCGUCGUCCUUGAAAUUCAAACUCUUCAACAUUCAAACCAUUCCACUCAUCCUUGACAUCCAAUCUAACACUUUCCCAAGUUCCAAACCAAAUUCCAAUUGUCAUGGAGAUUCAAUCUCUUCAACAUUCAAACAUGAACACAUUCCACUCAUCCUAGACAUCCAAACUAACACUUUCCCAAGUUCCAAACCAAAUUCCUGUUUUCCUGGAUAUUCAAACUCUUCAACAUUCAAACCAUCCCAACAUUAAAACCUUCCACCAAUCCUGGACAUUCAAACUAACACUUUCCCAAGUUCCAAACCAAAUUCCCAUCGUCCUAGAAAUUCAAACUCCUCAAAUUUCAAACCAUCCAUCUAUCUAUUUCCUACUGCUUAUUCCCUUUUGGCGCCUAUCUCAGCUACAAUCAGGCGGAAGGCGGGUACACCCUGGACAAGUCGCCAACUCAAACAUCAACACAUUACACUUAUCCUGGACAUUCAAACAAACACUUCUUUUCUUUUCUUAGUUUAUUUGGAACAUGACAUGCAUACAUUAUACAUCAGGUAAUUUCAUCAUUUGGCAAUACACAAUACAUCAUGUCCGAAAAGGAGUAGGAAGAAGCAAAGCUUAUUUAAUCCUCGCCCUUUUCCACUUCAGAGCGCCCACAAAUAUAAACAUUCAUUCACUGACCUUCUUUACAGCAAAAUAUCAAUAGCAAAAUGACAUCUGUGAGUGAGUAACACAGCAGUUUUCUGACAUGUACUUCAUUAUUUCAGUCAUUAACAUACUAAGAUGAAGAAUAUCUUAUUUUCAAUAAGUUUGAAAGUGUUUCUCAUAAUACUUCUUUGUACUUUGUAAGCACUAUUAAUAUAAACAUCCUCUUAAACUGGAUCAUAUCAGUACAAUGUUUAACUUCUUUACUUAAUCCAUUCCAUCAUUUAAUUCCACAUACUGAUAUGCUAAAAGUUAUAAGUGUUGUACGGGCAUACAAAUGUUUUAAGUUAGAUUUUCCUCUAGGGUUAUAUUUCUCCUCUUUAGUUGAGAAGAAUUGUUGUACAUUCUUUGGUAGCAGGUUAUAAUUUACUUUGUACAUCAAUUUAGCUGUUUGCAAUUUUAUCAAGUCAUCGAGCUUUAAUAUUUUUGACUCAAUAAAUAAAGGGUUUGUAUGUUCUCUAUAUCCAACAUUGUGUAUUAUUCUAAUCGAUCUUUUUUGUAACACAGUUAACGAAUGUAGCCCACAUUUGUAGUUGUUUCCCCAUAUUUCUGCACAAUAACUCAGAUAUGUAACACUAGCGAGCAGUAGAGAAUAGAAAGUGAUUUUUGGCCCAGGACGUAUUUUGCUUUAUUCAUUAUUGAAAUAUUUUUUGCCACCUUAUGUUGUAUGUUUUGUAUAUGAGAUUUCCAGUUCAUUUUAUCAUCUAUUAAUACUCCCAAAAAUCUGGUUUCUUUUACCCUUUCGAUAUCUAUUCCAUCUAUUUGUAUUCGUGUCUGAUGCUCUUUUCUACUGUUACCAAAUAGCAUUAUUUUAGUUUUACUGAGAUUCAAGGAUGGCCUGUUUUUAUCAAACCAUUUUUUUAAUUUAUUCAUUUCUUCCGUUAUUAUUUGUAUUAUCUUCUGUGUGUUCUCUCCUGAACAGAAAGCGGUUGUGUCGUCCCAAGUUCCAAACAAAAUUCCCGUUGUCCUGGAAAUUCAAACUCUUCAACAUUCAAACCAUUCCCACAUUCGAACCAUUUCAGCAUUUUAACGAUUCCAACAUUCGAACUAGCGGUAUUCUUACAUUUAUUCUAUAGUCUAUCAACAUUUCACUUCAAUAUUCACAGGCAAUUUCUUCAGGAAUUGCCUCUUUUAGAUAGUUCUUAAUCUCCACUUUUUUCUUUUUAUCAAUAUUUAUGCCAUUUUCUUGUAUUAUGUGGCUCAAAAAGUAAACACUACUCGUUGCAUAAACUCAAUUGGAUCUCUGUGCCUAAUGUUAUGUCCGGUAAAAGUGAAGGUGGGCAUGUUCUAGCACAGGGGUAGGGAACCUAUGGCUCUAGAGCCAGAUGUGGCUCCUUUGAUGACUGCAUCUGGCUCUCGGAUAAAUCUGAGCUGACACUACUUAAAACAAUAAGUAAUGAAUAAAUCCACUGGUAAUCACAGUGUUAAAAAUAACGUUAAAAAUACAAAAAUGCUCAUGCAUUUGAAUUCAUCCAUCCUUUUUCCUACCGCACCUGUUCAAGAGGUUGCCUUAAAGGUAAGAAAUAAUUUAUUAUUGGUUAGUCUAGGACUAGCCCUCUUGGGGGUUCUUCAACAAGGCCCAGGUGGGCCAUUUACACACCUGUCGCGGAUUUCGAGGCCGGUCCUCGCUGCAGACCCGCAGGCCACACCCCCUCCUAAGUUCGCUUCAGAAUAACAACGUUAUUACAAAGAAUAAGAGACCUAUUAUACUGUAGAAAUGUUGGUCUUAAUUAAAAAUGCACACUUUUAGUUGUGCUCAGUGUUAAAAAUAUAUUAUAUGGCUCUUACGGAAAUACAUUUUAAAAUAUUUGACUUCUUGGCUCUCUCAGCCAAAAAGGUUCUCGACCCCUGGCGUAUACUCUAAAAAUGUUGGUCUUGCAAGCAUUUGGUUGUAUUCAGUGUUUAAAAAAAAAAGAAGUAUAUGGCUCUCACGGAAAUACUUUUUUAAAUAUUUGCCUUGUAUGGCUCUCUCAGCCAAAAAGGUUCCCGACCCCUGUUCUAGCAUGUUCCACUCAAAGCAUUGUAUUUUCUUCAUUGCUCCUCACCUCUAUUAUCUAGCAAGGUGUUUGAAUAUUAUUACUCAUAUAUUUUAUUUGUUUACAGAAACAGAAACUGAGUGGAGUUUUAGCUGAAAGUCUGGUUGUGUGUGUUUCCGCCUCCUUGGUGUCAGAUAGGAGAUCACAUGUCUGCUGUGACCCCUGCUGGUCGGACAAGGGAAGCCCUGGCACACCAUCAGUCCCAUUCAAGAGCAGACAAACAUUACAGGGAGACAGAACAGGAUUGCUGACGGGUCUGCCAACUUCCGGCGCUCCUUACAAAAAAGAUGAUGUGGUCCUGAUGGCUUCAUCUGGCCAGGAUCUUCAGCUCUCACUGGACCGGAAUGAGAAUCAGCACCUCCAAGUCCGAGUCCAUGGUUCUCGCCCGGAAAAGGGUGGAGUGCCAUCUCCGGGUUGGGGAGGAGACCCUGCCCCAAGUCGAGGAGUUCAGGUACCUAGGAGUCUUGUUCACGAUUGAGGGAAGAGUGGAUCGUGAGGUCGACAGGUGGAUCGGUGCGGCGUCUUCAGUAAUGAAUCCUUUGUGGUGAAGAAGGAGCUGAGCCGGAAGGCAAAGCUCUCAAUUUACCGGUCGAUCUACGUUCUCAUCCUCACCUAUGGUCAUGAGCUUUGGGUCAUGACCGAAAGGACAAGAUCACGGGUACAAGCGGCCCAAAUGAGUUUUCUCACCCUAUCUCUCCCUUAGAGAUAGGGUGAGAAGCUCUGCCAUCCGGGAGGAACUCAAAGUAAAGCCGCUGCUCCUCCACAUGGAGAGGAGCCAGAUGAGGUGGUUCGAGGAUCUGGUCAGGAUGCCACCCCAACGCCUCCCUAGGGAGGUGUUUAGGGCACCUCCGACCGGUAGGAGGCCAUGGGGAAGACCCAGGACACGUUGGGAAGACUAUCGGUGUAGCUCGGUUGAUAGGGCGGCCGUGCCAGCAACUUGAGGAUUCCGGGUUCGAUCCCCGCUUCCGCCAUCCUAGUCACUACCGUUGUGUCCUUGGGCAAGACACUUUACCCACCUGCUCUCGGUGCCACAGACACUGGUUUAAAUGUCACUUAGAUAUUUGGUUAAACUAUGUAAAGCGCUUUGAGUCAUGAGAAAACCGCUAUAUAAAUAUAAUUCACUUCAUCUCUCCUGUCUGGCCUGGGAAUGCCUCAGGAUUCCCUGGGAGGAGCUGGACAAACUGGUUGGGGUGAGGGAAGUCUGGGCUUCCCUGCUUAGGCUGCUGCCCCCGCGAUCUCACCUCGGAUAAGCGGAAGAAGACGGAUGGAUGGAAGAUUUUGAGUAACAUUAUUGUUCCCUGUACUUUGUAAACACUUGCCGUUUGAACGGUUUCUUAAAGUGGAUCAUGUUAGUGCAUUGUUUCACUUCUUAAUCCAUUCCAUAAUUUAAUUCCACAUACAGAUAUGCUAAAAAGUCUUUAUUGUUCUACCUUUAUAAAUGUUUUGGGAUAUUUUUUCUUUAAGGCCAGAUUGUUCUUCUGUGCUGUACAAUCUUUGGUAGCAUUUUAUAGUUUGCUUUGUGCAUCAUUUGGUCUCUUUGCAAAUUCACCAAAUCACUGAAUUUCAAUAUUCAAUAUUUCAACAGACUUAUAAACACUGAAUGGCA